rnacentral:rRNA from 1 species
UACAGGGGGUGCAAGCGUUGCUCGGAAUUAUUGGGCGUAAAGCGCGCGUAGGCGGCUACCUAAGUCGGAUGUGAAAGCCCCUGGCUUAACUGGGGAAGUGCACCCGAAACUGAGUAGCUAGAGUGCGAAAGAGGGUCGCGGAAUUCCCGGUGUAGAGGUGAAAUUCGUAGAUAUCGGGAGGAACACCGGUGGCGAAGGCGGCGACCUGGGUCGACACUGACGCUGAGGCGCGAAAGCGUGGGGAGCAAACAGG